rnacentral:rRNA from 1 species
GAUGAACGCUGGCGGCGUGCCUAAUACAUGCAAGUCGAGCGAACGGACGAGAAGCUUGCUUCUCUGAUGUUAGCGGCGGACGGGUGAGUAACACGUGGAUAACCUACCUAUAAGACUGGGAUAACUUCGGGAAACCGGAGCUAAUACCGGAUAAUAUUUUGAACCGCAUGGUUCAAAAGUAAAAGACGGUCUUGCUGUCACUUAUAGAUGGAUCCGCGCUGCAUUAGCUAGUUGGUAAGGUAACGGCUUACCAAGGCAACGAUGCAUAGCCGACCUGAGAGGGUGAUCGGCCACACUGGAACUGAGACACGGUCCAGACUCCUACGGGAGGCAGCAGUAGGGAAUCUUCCGCAAUGGGCGAAAGCCUGACGGAGCAACGCCGCGUGAGUGAUGAAGGUCUUCGGAUCGUAAAACUCUGUUAUUAGGGAAGAAUAUAUGUGUAAGUAACUGUGCACAUCUUGACGGUACCUAAUCAGAAAGCCACGGCUAACUACGUGCCAGCAGCCGCGGUAAUACGUAGGUGGCAAGCGUUAUCCGGGAUUAUUGGGCGUAAAGCGCGCGUAGGCGGUUUUUUAAGUCUGAUGUGAAAGCCCACGGCUCAACCGUGGAGGGUCAUUGGAAACUGGACAACUUGAGUGCAGAAGAGGAAAGUGGAAUUCCAUGUGUAGCGGUGAAAUGCGCAGAGAUAUGGAGGAACACCAGUGGCGAAGGCGACUUUCUGGUCUGUAACUGACGCUGAUGUGCGAAAGCGUGGGGAUCAAACAGGAUUAGAUACCCUGGUAGUCCACGCCGUAAACGAUGAGUGCUAAGUGUUAGGGGGUUUCCGCCCCUUAGUGCUGCAGCUAACGCAUUAAGCACUCCGCCUGGGGAGUACGACCGCAAGGUUGAAACUCAAAGGAAUUGACGGGGACCCGCACAAGCGGUGGAGCAUGUGGUUUAAUUCGAAGCAACGCGAAGAACCUUACCAAAUCUUGACAUCCUUUGACUACUCUAGAGAUAGAGCCUUCCCCUUCGGGGGACAAAGUGACAGGUGGUGCAUGGUUGUCGUCAGCUCGUGUCGUGAGAUGUUGGGUUAAGUCCCGCAACGAGCGCAACCCUUAAGCUUAGUUGCCAUCAUUAAGUUGGGCACUCUAAGUUGACUGCCGGUGACAAACCGGAGGAAGGUGGGGAUGACGUCAAAUCAUCAUGCCCCUUAUGAUUUGGGCUACACACGUGCUACAAUGGACAAUACAAAGGGCAGCGAAACCGCGAGGUCAAGCAAAUCCCAUAAAGUUGUUCUCAGUUCGGAUUGUAGUCUGCAACUCGACUACAUGAAGCUGGAAUCGCUAGUAAUCGUAGAUCAGCAUGCUACGGUGAAUACGUUCCCGGGUCU